UACGGGGGGGGCAAGCGUUGUUCGGAAUUACUGGGCGUAAAGGGCGCGUAGGCGGCUCGCUAAGUCGGGUGUGAAAACUCUGGGCUCAACCCAGAGCCUGCACUCGAAACUGACGAGCUGGAGUUCUGGAGGGGAAAGCGGAAUUCCUGGUGUAGCAGUGAAAUGCGUAGAUAUCAGGAGGAACACCGGUGGCGAAGGCGGCAUCCUGGACCGGUAUUGACGCUGAGGCGCGGAAAGCCAGGGGAGCAAACGGG
rnacentral:rRNA from 1 species